GGCAGGGUCCGAAGGGUGCGGGCCGCGCCUGGAAUGCUCCCCGCCGGCUCUGGGGAGCGAGGGCGGCCGCUGCCGCCUGUGGCACAUGGAGCGGUUUCUCCCUUCACCGCUCUCUCGUCUGUCACCGCUUCGGAGCGACGGGACAGCGGAAUGAAAACCCUGGCUACCGCUGCCGCCCGACUUUGGGCUCCCUUACUUCGUCUUCGAUUCCUUCGAAGGGGGGCGAGGGGUCUGUGCCAGCUAGAGGUGCUGCCACUCCUGGCUCCACUCUCCUGUCUCCCUGCACCGAGCAUCAUAGCUGGGAAGCAGCGCGAAGCCACCGGGCCAGUCCCUGGGAAGGUCUUGCCAAGGCGGGCGUCGUGUAUGUCGGGGCUGAGGGGAGGAGAGAAGCUCCCCCGCCCCCCUUAAAUCUUGACAGAUGACUUAGCUAGAAAUGAACAUGUCCCCUUUUGAAAAGAGCUUCUUCCCGUUUCCAACCGCCCUACCGAACCGGGAUCUACCCUAGCCUCACCCGGAGCUCCCUCUGCCCCCGCCGCCCAGCCCGGCUCCCUUCCCCGGCCCCUUACCCGGGCUCGGAGCCUAAGAUUGUCCCAGCAUGAGUGACAUUGGCUUUCCUAAUGUAAUGACUUAUGAAAGAUAUAAUCAUGUGUUAAAUUGAAUCCUCCGCUUAACUGUUAAUGGUGUGCUCUGGGCACAUUUACGUAUUAGAUGCUAUGGUAACUAAUUACCACUAGAAGAAGGGAUAAUACACUUUCCAGACUUUGACAAAUAAUUAUGAGUGUUCACAUCCCUGCUAGCAGCAGUUGCAGCGGAUCUGCUGGAAUGAGCCGGAGGGAUCCCGAGGCUGUAAGCAAACGGCGAAACAGGUCCUUAUUGGAGCGGGACAAAACUUUGGGGAAGUCGCUCUGGGCUCCGCGCCUGCCCCGGCCCCCGCCGCUCUCCCGCUCCGCGGGGUCGCUGCUGCCCGUCGGGGCCCGUCCGGUGUCUGGGAAGGCUCCGGCACUAAAGGAGCCUAUCAGAGGCGUAACAGAGCUUCUCUGUGGAGUAUUGCUCUUGGCUGAGGCAGGCGCCGCAGGGGUUAAGCCGCUUGUGCCCGCCGCUCCGGGGCCAUCCUGCCGGGGCAGGGGCUAAGGUGGGAUCCGCUGCCGGGAGCAGGAGACGGCGUGGCUGCCCCGGCCCCCCGGCCCGACUCCGGAGCUCCUACCAGCCAAAUACAUCGCAGAAGGGACAUCUGCUAAAUGAGCAAAGAGCUGAAGCCAGCCCCAUUUCCCCGGGGUCACCCAUCAGCUCGGUGUCACCCAGCCCGCCCCCCGCACAUCCCCGAAGCGCUCCGGAGGGGAAUUUGCUCUGGUUCGGUUGGUUCUCCAGCCUCAGGAAGGGUUAAAUCUUUCCCCAAGCCCCUAGUUGCCCUUGUCCUCUCAACCUGAUUCAGAGACGUGUAAUAAAAUAGGAAGCAAAUUUAUGGUCUGUUUCAAGCACUUUACUGCUGUAUUUUUAAAUUCAUAUAUGCACACAUAAGAACUAUGAUCUGUGAAUAAUUUGAAAUGCUAUAGGAAAAUGAUGUAUUUUAGAUCAAACAUAACCGUUUUCUUACAUAAUUGUCUUGGAUUAAAAUAAAAAAUAAAGAUACUUUUCGAACAGAGACAAA